GGAGCUAGAUGGCUCCUGCCUUGUGGCCUGUAUUUUCUCGAAGGAGGUGGCAGAGGGUGAGGGAAUGAGUAGUUGGGGGACUGAGGAUAGUGGAGGAGGCGUGUAACAGCCAGUCUGAGAGGAAAAGAGAAGGGGUUGCCAAGAGAAACAACUGAAAUAGGAAGUAAUACAGAUGCUCCUCGAUUCGCAAGGGGCUACAGCCCCAUAAACCUGUUGUAUGUGGAAAAUGCAUUUAAUGUGGACAGCACAGCAGACAGUCCCCCGACUGAUAAUGGUUUGAUUUCAGAUGUUUCAACUUUAUGAUGGUGUGAAAGCAUUACACUUUCAGUAGAAACCAUAACCCCAUCGUAAGUCAUAAGGAGUUCUUUGACUUAGGUUGGGGCUACAUCCUAAUAAACCAAUCACAAAGUUGAAAAAUCCAGAAUGGAAGCAUUGGAAGUUGGAGACCAUCUGUACAGGUGCAGUGGGACCAUCUCUGCAGGUGUCAGGGCCCCAGCAGCUGAGACUAGACUUGGCAGAUGCUGAUUAUGGGUUCGGUCUGCAGCCCAUAACCUUGUCCAUUGUCUCCUUUUUUACUGCUUUUGCCACCAGAGAAAGACACUCUCCCUCCAGGUUCUGGGAACCGCUCACCAUGGCCCCCCAUUUAAAACUCCACGAGGCUGGGCACAAUGGCGCACACCUGUAGUCCUAACUACACAGGAGGCUCAAGCAGGAGGAUGGCUUGAGCCCAGGAGUUCUGGGCUGUAGUGCACUGUGCCAACCGGGUGUCCACACUAUGUUCAGCAUUAAUAUGGUGACCUCCCAGGAGCGGGGGACCAGCAGGUUGCUUAAAGAGGGGUGAACCGACCCAGGUCAGAAAUGAAGCAGGUCAAAACUCCUGUGCCGAUCAGCAGUGGGAUCCUGCCUAUGAAUAGCCACCACACUCCAGCCUGGACAACAUAGUGAGACCCUGCCUCUA
rnacentral:SRP_RNA from 10 species